rnacentral:rRNA from 2 species
GAGUUUGAUCCUGGCUCAGAACGAACGCUGGCGGCAUGCCUAACACAUGCAAGUCGAACGAGACCUUCGGGUCUAGUGGCGCACGGGUGCGUAACGCGUGGGAAUCUGCCCUUGGGUUCGGAAUAACACAGAGAAAUUUGUGCUAAUACCGGAUGAUGUCUUCGGACCAAAGAUUUAUCGCCCAAGGAUGAGCCCGCGUAGGAUUAGGUAGUUGGUGGGGUAAUGGCCUACCAAGCCGACGAUCCUUAGCUGGUCUGAGAGGAUGAUCAGCCACACUGGGACUGAGACACGGCCCAGACUCCUACGGGAGGCAGCAGUGGGGAAUAUUGGACAAUGGGCGAAAGCCUGAUCCAGCAAUGCCGCGUGAGUGAUGAAGGCCUUAGGGUUGUAAAGCUCUUUUACCAGGGAUGAUAAUGACAGUACCUGGAGAAUAAGCUCCGGCUAACUCCGUGCCAGCAGCCGCGGUAAUACG